rnacentral:lncRNA from 1 species
CCAAAGCCGAUGGCCUGACCGUGGGACCUCACCAGCCAGCCCCAUCCUCGUGGAAGAGGGGUGAGGUAGGGAGGAAGGGCAGGGCAAGAGCCUUUCUCCACAGACGCCUUCGACAAGAAGGAAACGCUGGAUGUGAAGGAAAAGAGAGUGAAGCGGGAUCCUUGGGUCGCAGCAGGGCCUGAGAAUCGGUGACUUCUACAGUGAAGAAACCAAGUUGCAGUAACUUGCCCAGGUCAUCACUACUGAGGGCAGAGCCAUUACCUCCUUCCUGAUAGGACCGUAUCUCUCUAAAGCCCCAGCAACUCAAGAAGCAAGCACGAAGGAGUCAUUCGAGGGCUUUCUAAAGGAAUGAAUGUUGUCUCGUUUUCCUCUAAAGCCAGACUGCCUAGGUUCGAAUCCCAGCUCUACCACUUACUAGCUGUGUGAACCCCAGCAAGUUAUCCACCUUUCUGUACCCCCAUUUUCUCACCUGUAAAGUGUACAGUUUUCUCACCUGUAAUAAUAGAACCUGCUCCACAGGAUUGUUGUGGGAAUUAAGAAAAUCAAAGAAGUGAAUAUACAUACUUAGCACAACACCUGGCAUAGAGAAGCCCUCAAUAAAAUAUUAGUC